GCUUCCCUCUUUCCUCGUGCCUCCUCCCUGCACGUCGAGCGCACGGACGAGAAGCUUGCUUCUCUGAUGUUAGCGGCGGACGGGUGAGUAACACGUGGAUAACCUACCUAUAAGACUGGGAUAACUUCGGGAAACCGGAGCUAAUACCGGAUAAUAUUUUGAACCGCAUGGUUCAAAAGUGAAAGACGGUCUUGCUGUCACUUAUAGAUGGAUCCGCGCUGCAUUAGCUAGUUGGUAAGGUAACGGCUUACCAAGGCAACGAUGCAUAGCCGACCUGAGAGGGUGAUCGGCCACACUGGAACUGAGACACGGUCCAGACUCCUACGGGAGGCAGCAGUAGGGAAUCUUCCGCAAUGGGCGAAAGCCUGACGGAGCAACGCCGCGUGAGUGAUGAAGGUCUUCGGAUCGUAAAACUCUGUGAUUAGGGAAGAACAUAUGUGUAAGUAACUGUGCACAUCUUGACGGUACCUAAUCAGAAAGCCACGGCUAACUACGUG
rnacentral:rRNA from 1 species